UACGUAGGGGGCGAGCGUUGUCCGGAUUUAUUGGGCGUAAAGAGCUCGUAGGCGGCUUGGCAAGUCGGGUGUGAAAACUCCAGGCUCAACCUGGAGAUGCCACUCGAGACUGCUAUGGCUAGAGUCCGGUAGGGGACCACGGAAUUCCUGAUGUAGCGGUGAAAUGCGCAGAUAUCAGGAGGAACACCGGUGGCGAAGGCGGUGGUCUGGGCCGGCACUGACGCUGAGGAGCGAAAGCGUGGGGAGCAAACAGG
rnacentral:rRNA from 1 species